AGCGGAGGAGGCAGGCGGCCGACUGGAUCUGGAGAAUCCAGGCGGCUCGCGGGUUCGAAUCCCGCUGUGCAC
rnacentral:tRNA from 1 species